AUGGCCGUCACGCCCAAUCUCCCCCUCCUCCUCCUCGCGACGUUCCUCCUCCUCGCGGCGGCGCCGCUCCCCUCCGCCGCGGAGAAGUUCGUCGUCGGCGACAAGAAGAACUGGGCCCCCAACGUCAACUACACCACCUGGCCCGACCAGUACCACUUCCACGUCGGCGACUGGCUCCAGUUCAACUACGCCAAGGGCAUGUACGACGUGGUGCAGGUGGCGAACCAGACGGCGUACGACAAGUGCGACCCGAGCAACCCCCUCGUCAGCUACGACCGCGGCCGCGGCUUCGUGUUCCAGCUCAACUACACGGGCCGCUACUACUUCAUCUGCAGCCGCGGCUACUGCUGGAGCGGCAUGAAGGUCACCGUGCUCGUCGAGGACAGCCCCGCGCAGCCGCCGCACGCCGCGGCGCCGUCGCCCAACGCGGCCGCGCGCCACGGCGUCGUCUCGUGGGCCGUCGCCGCCGCCGCGGCCUCGCUCUGCGCGGCGGUUCUGGGUUUGCCGUUUGCGGUGUGA
rnacentral:rRNA from 1 species